rnacentral:lncRNA from 1 species
UAAUCGAAGUUGCUGGCUGCUCAACUGGUUCUGAAAAUCCUAGCUAAUAAAUAGAGCAAAAGAAGGAUUGAAGAAGAAAGGCAACAUGAGUUGCUGGCUGCUCAACUGUUGGGCAUGGCCUCUGUACAAAUACCUGCAUUUACCGUAACUGACGGCUGUAAGUAAAUUGCCUUGAAAAAAUCAUCUUCUGGCAGUCAAAACUAAAAUGAUGACACUACCAUAGAAUGCCAUUUAUGCUGCCCUUCUAAGUUUGUCUAGUUCAGCCAAGACAUUCUUGAGGGAAACUCUCAGCUUGCUCUGUUUAGUCUGCAGUUUUUCGCAGCAUAAGUUAAACUAACAGCAGUAGUCAUAUGACUCAUAUCUUAGAUCUGUUGUUACGUGUCUCAGAUCUUUGUGUAUAAAUCAACAUAAACCAUCUUCAUCAUCGAAGGAAACUGUUGUUACGUGUCUCAGGAUCUGCUUUGAAUGGGUCAGAGACUUCAGCUGAUUGUUAGGAGAUUAGUUUUCUUUUAGUCCUAUUAAGUUUCGCUAGUUUUCUCCACUGAUUAUUUCUCCUCUAAGUUGCAAACAAGAAUGGAUACCUCCCUGGUAAGUGCUCCAACACGGGUAGUGACUCCAGAACUAAUUGAGAUAAGGGACAUAUACCCUCCCCGGAAAUUGAUCUGGAAAACUCGUGACAGAUCAAGAAAAAGAUUACCCGUGACGAGGUCGUUGUAGGAAAGCUGGUGAUUCCAUUUUUUGAGACGUUUGAGUACAUUUUUCUAUACUGGACGUUGGACAUGGCCAAAAGUUUGGAGGACGGGUGCGAUGUGCCUGUUGACGUGUGGGAUGUAACUGAGGAGAAUGUCCCUAAGAAGUAUCGGGAUAUGUUGAUCUAUAAGUUGAAACAGAGGUAACACAUUCAACAGUGAUACAAGGCCAGAUUCUUUCGCUGGUUUGUUAGGAAAAAGGCAACCGAGGUCAUGUUUUGUGCACUGAAAGUAUUGACAGCAAAAAGUAUCAGGAUAUGGUGAUCUUUAACACUCGUAACUCGCCAUGUCAAGCCUUAUAUUAUAGCUUGGAAAGAGCUUCUUUGCACCAUCAAUGUGUAUAACUUAGAACAAUAUUCAAUAUCAUCUGACCUUACUGACACAAAAUGUCCUAUCCUGUAUCAAUUGUUAGGUAUGUGAGGGAAAAGAAACAUACGUUUUGCCCUGAAUGGAUAGCUCGAUGGUCAAGAGGUCAAAAUUCCAAAACAAGGGUGGGGAUACAUCUUCUAGUUCCUGCUGCCUCCUGAUUUUAAGCUACUGAAGAGAUAUACUCCGAGACUCAUAUAGUCAAGCAGUGUCAUUUGAUGGAUAUGGAAAAUAUACUCCACGAUGAUAUCAUGAAUUUUUGGAACAUUCUCUAACUUUGUCCUCUGUUCAAAUGAAAAGUACAUGAACAAUAUCGGAUCCAUUCUACUAGUAAACAACACAAGUGUCCGUCAUUACUAAAAAUCACUUCCAGAGUUCUUUCGUUGUUGAUUUAGAUAUGAAAUACAUUCUUCUUUGGCAACAUUAUAUCUAAGCCAAGUCGGAAGUCUAAAAGGAAAAUACUUUACAGGCCUAACAUGAUCCCAUUUCACGCACAAACUCACUAGUAGAAGGUUUGAGGCAAAAGGUGAAUAGAUAUUGAUUCAUUCACACUACAAUUUGUAGCAGGAGAGAUGUUGCAAGAUCACUAGCAACUUAGAACGCUACCUAUGGUAUAAAACAUCAAUAUUCAAUUGAACAUGAAAAACAACACUUCUUUGAGAUGAUAGUGGAGCAAACCUCCGAUGAAGACACCAAGCUCCUUACAGAGAUAUAUAUAACACCUUAGAAAAUCUCACAGUGAUAAUAUAUAUGAGAAAAGUAAGGUAUAUAAGGAAGCAAAGUUAUCCCUGUUGACGUGUUUUAAAGUAGUACAAGCCUAAACAUAAAGUUGACAAUAUUAUUAUUAUUAUCAUUAAUCGGUUGGGUUGUUAGUUGUUACACAUUAUAUAUUCAAGUUUGAAAUUCAGGUGUGACAUUUAUCCAUCAAAAUUAUCAUCAAUCAGUAAAUUGAUACCUUUAUUAAAUAAAAUAACUGAGAAAAUUGGACAGAGAUGUAUUAACUAAGACAACUGAUUUUGUAACAAUAUGAGAACCCACUAAAUAUUUCAAUAAUCUACUGAAAGCUUUUGCAAUAGCACAACUGCGGAAGUAUAAUUGAAGUAUCACGAGACUCACUAAAUAAUUGACUGAGAACUC